rnacentral:rRNA from 1 species
CCAACACUGGGACUGAGACACUGCCCAGACUCCUACGGGAGGCUGCAGUCGAGAAUCUUUCGCAAUGGACGAAAGUCUGACGAAGCGACGCCGCGUGUGUGAUGAAGGCCUUAGGGUUGUAAAGCACUUUCGCCUGGGAAUAAGAGAGAUUGGCUAAUAUCCAAUCGAUUUGAGCGUACCGGGUAAAGAAGCACCGGCUAACUCCA